rnacentral:lncRNA from 1 species
GUCAAGCAUGCCCAGUGUAGUCCUACUUUCAGUAUUCUGACAGAGGUGGAGAUUAGGAGGGUAGAAAGAACCACAACAGAAGCAAGGGUGCCAUGAUUUUAAAAGCUGAUGGAGUCACUUUGCCUGAUAGAUUAUUAAAGAAGCAAAAAGAAAAGUUCUUUCUCCCACCCUGGACCUUCUACAGAUAUAUAAACCCCACAUACCUAGCUUCCAAGUUCCUACAGACCUCACAAUCUCUGAAGGCCCCAAAGGUGGGCUUGCGUGCUGCGAAGGUGGGUCUGCGCUGGCCGGAAGGCCCAGCGCGGCCGCUGGAAGGCCCGAAAGAGAAGGUGGAGAGUGGUGCCCUCCUCCCAGGACGAUGGUGCCCCCGGGACGAUGGAGCCACAGGCAAAUGCCUAUUUCGCCUUAUGGUUGGACCGCCUCUGGCUGAAUGUCUGCUAUCCAUCUGCUGUGAACACUGCCUACCUUGCAGUCCCUAUCAGAUGUGGCAAUGUUGUUGGCCAAGAUUGGAAAGGGAGGCGACAGCAGCAGUGACAGUCACAGGCUCUUACCCUUCUCCAGAAAGAAAUGCAGGGAGGAAGGAUGGAUGGUGA